GUGGGGAAUUUUGGACAAUGGGCGCAAGCCUGAUCCAGCAAUGCCGCGUGCAGGAAGAAGGCCUUCGGGUUGUAAACUGCUUUUGUACGGAACGAAACGGUCCUGGUUAAUACCUGGGGCUAAUGACGGUACCGUAAGAAUAAGCACCGGCUAACUACGUGCCAGCAGCCGCGGUAAUACGUAGGGUGCGAGCGUUAAUCGGAAUUACUGGGCGUAAAGCGUGCGCAGGCGGUUUUGUAAGCCAGGCGUGAAAUCCCCGGGCUCAACCUGGGAAUUGCGCUUGUGACUGCAAGGCUGGAGUGCGGCAGAGGGGGAUGGAAUUCCGCGUGUAACAGUGAAAUGCGUAGAUAUGCGGAGGAACACCGAUGGCGAAGGCAAUCCCCUGGGCCUGCACUGACGCUCAUGCACGAAAGCGUGGGGAGCAAACAGGAUUAGAAACCCUGGUAGUCC
rnacentral:rRNA from 1 species